GACUUAUCAAGAAAGGUGGAGGGAUUUGGCCCUGCGAAACCUUAGCAACCCCCGCGAGACGGAAGGGUGCUAAUUCCAGUUCCGAGCAAUCGGAAAAGAUAAGCG
rnacentral:ncRNA from 1 species